GACAGAGGGUGCAAACGUUGUUCGGAAUUACUGGGCGUAAAGCGCGUGUAGGCGGUUAUGCAAGUCGGGUGUGAAAGCCCGGAGCUCAACUCCGGAAGUGCAUUCGAUACUGCGUAGCUAGAGUACUGGAGAGGAUGGUGGAACUCUCGGUGUAGAGGUGAAAUUCGUAGAUAUUCGCAGGAACACCAGUGGCGAAGGCGGCUCACUGGUCCGAUACUGACGCUGAGGUGCGAAAGCGUGGGGAGCAAACAGG
rnacentral:rRNA from 1 species